GAGGUUGACAGCCAUGACCGGACGACUCCACGGCAUAUCCCGCCCCUUUCCCAGGAUCGCUUCGAAGUGGUCCCCCCAAGGAUGGUGACGGACAAACGGGCGGCAGCACAUAGCGGCCAUGAGGCCCCCCGCCUGGCCAGAUCUGCAGCAGUCAAGACCGUCUGGUGGAAUGUCCUGCUCCAGGCCAGCAAUCGAGGCACCGAGACGUAUAAACUGCAUCCCUGUUCUGAUUUUUUUUGUGUUGGAUUUCUUUUGGGAGCUGGAUCAGUUGAUUCCAUAUUAAAAAAAAAGAAAAAAACGCACCCAGCAGCAGCAGACUUUGGACACAAUUCGCUGGAUGUGGUCUGGGGACACCAAUGCUCAUCAUAUUGAUGAGCGGGAAGAAACUCCCGUUUCCCCAUCCCUGCACUUGCUAUUAAUUGUUAAGGCGUCGUGUGACUCACCACAGGCCAAUUGCGAGCUCUCCUGGUCCUCCUCACCACCGUGGAACUCUCCAGGGCAGCCUCCUCCUUGCCGCCGUCUCUCCCAGCCCUCCCCCACCCAAACUCCCCCCCCCUCCCCCCCGCUCUCCUUUGGAUUGCAAACCACAAGACACUUCGUUGCCCGCGUCUCUUUUCGAUUCCCAACUUCGAGGAACUUGGUGGCUGCCUGGGAGGGCUGCUUGCCUGACCGGCUGGCCGGGUUCUGUGUUUUGAUCUCCCCCCCCCUCCCCCCCACACACACAGAUUAAAAACAAGAGCUGGACAACUGUUUCCCGAGCUUGGAAGAGACUUUUCAACUGGUCGGGGGGGGCGUGCUAAGCCCCCCUUCCUUUCUCUUGUUAUUAUUUGGGACUUCUAUUGUGACAAUAACUUUUUUUAUUUUAGUUUUGUAUAAGAUAACUCUAGUGUGAUGAGCAAGUGAGUGCCCUUCUGUUUUGUACUAUCCUUUUUCUGUUACUAUUUAAGAGAGAGAGGCAAGCCACUUUAGCGGUGUGUGCCUACGCAUGCACAUACAAAACAGGUGUUAACCUACUAGACCGCGUGUUGUCCCUGCCUAGGAUCCUCCCAGUUUUGCUCCGGAGCCGAAUGGCUGAGUUGGAUGCCGCUGUCUUGUCUUUUCAGAUGGGGCUUGCUGCUGAAACGUGCCGCUCUCCCCUUCUCUUACUACAAGCCUGGGCCUUUUGUCAGCAAAGGGCUUCAGUUUGUGCCUAAAUUGGAGCCACCGUGGAACUCUCCAGGGCAGCCCCUCCCUGCCUCCGUCUCUCCCAGCCCUCCCCCACCCAAGCCCCCCCCCCUCCCCAGACAAGCCGGCAGGAGGCCCUCCAGAGCCUCAUAUUCUGCUCUCCUCCUCCUCCUCCUCCUCACAAGUUGUUGGCUUCUGACGAAUCAUGACGGGCUUUGUCUUGGUUACCCAAGGCAGCAUCUUCCAGGUCAAAGCCCAUUGGCUGGAUGCCCAAAGGUCUGCCCGUGCAGCAGGAGUUCCCCAGGGCUCUAGGUGGGAGGGCAGCCCACUGUAGUCAGGGGCAGAGAAGCCGUCACAGGGGCACACACCGCCCUCUUCUGCUGGGUCCUGGCCACCUGCCUUUGCCAAUGUCUUGUCCCGUCCCAAACCGAGGCAGUGACGCAUGCUGUCCCCUCUUGCUCAGAAACGGCCUGGAAGCAGUUCCGCGUGGGCCCUUUUUUCCCCGCCAUUGUUUAAGUAGGUUUGUUAGGGAUCUCCCCUCCUCCUCCUCCUCCCUUCCCCCCCCCCCGAAAGGCAUGAUGGCUUCCCUGUGCCGCUCCUCCUCAAGGUGAUGUCUGACUUGGGCAGGCCUCGUUUCCCUUUUCAAGAGGCCGCCAAGUAGCGAACAAACCCUCCUGGCCGGGCACAGAGAGCCGAGUGGCAGGUCUGGCGGUCUCUUCUCCAACCCCUUUCUGGUUUUUCGUUUGUUUCUUUUUCUCACGUAGAGGGAAACCGGCUGGCUGCAAAAACUGGGCAGGGAGCGGCUCGCAAGUGGUGAAUCGAAGCAAGGGAGGGCGUUCUGGUGUAUAGUAUUUAAAUGGGAGAGGGGAGAAGCAAGCCCCUACAUCAGUUUACUCUGGCAUAGCAGGGAGGUGUGGGGGGGAUGGGGGAGGGGUCUGCUUUCUCAGAACACCUGGGAUUGUUCAUGGGGCUAUUUUUAGUACGUUUCCACAUGUGUGAAAGAGUUGGCGGGCGUGUGACCGUGCGGGAGUCAGCGAACGGCCGCUGCAGGAGUUGAGGGGGGGGGGAGCCCGCUCGUUCCCCCAGAACUUUAAAUGUUUUGAUGUUGAACCGAUUCCCACAGACUUCGUUCUCACGAACCUGGCAGCUAUUUUGGACGUGGCAGUUUGGAUCCAUCGGGUUGGCCUCGGGCAAAGCAAAGGAGAUGCUGCGUUGAUUCGGGAGCAGCCACAGACCCUCUUCUGGGCACCUCGGCGAGUCAGAAAACUCUUCUGGGGGCUUGGGGGGUGGUGGUGGUGUGUGGAGUGGGCCAGAAGCUAUUACCUUUCUUUUCCGCUUCAAGGCAUAGCCAACUAGUGACAAGUAAAAACCAAACGACGCCGUGUGUUUUUGGAAGAUUUCUGUAUGACAGUCAUAUCAGAUGUAUUUGGGAAUUACAUUAAAACUUGUAACAAAG